ACACCAGUGGCGAAGGCGCUCUGCUGGGCCAUUACUGACGCUCAUGGACGAAAGCCAGGGGAGCGAAAGGGAUUAGAUACCCCUGUAGUCCUGGCCGUAAACGAUGAACACUAGGUGUCGGGGGAAUCGACCCCUUCGGUGUCGUAGCUAACGCGUUAAGUGUUCCGCCUGGGGAGUACGCACGCAAGUGUGAAACUCAAAGGAAUUGACGGGGGCCCGCACAAGCGGUGGAGUAUGUGGUUUAAUUCGAUGCAACGCGAAGAACCUUACCAGGGCUUGACAUCCUGCGAACCUUUAAGAAAUUAGAGGGUGCCUUCGGGAACGCAGUGACAGGUGGUGCAUGGCUGUCGUCAGCUCGUGUCGUGAGAUGUUGGGUUAAGUCCCGCAACGAGCGCAACCCACGUUUUUAGUUGCCAGCAUUUAGUUGGGCACUCUAGAAAGACCGCCGGUGAUAAACCGGAGGAAGGUGUGGAUGACGUCAAGUCAUCAUGCCCCUUACGUCCUGGGCUACACACGUACUACAAUGCUACGGACAAAGGGCAGCAAACUCGCGAGAGCUAGCAAAUCCCAUAAACCGUGGCUCAGUUCAGAUCGUAGGCUGCAACUCGCCUACGUGAAGUAGGAAUCGCUAGUAAUCGCAGGUCAGCAUACUGCGGUGAAUACGUUCCCGGGCCUUGUACACACCGCCCGUCACACCAUGGAAGUUGGCCACGCCCGAAGUCGUUACUUUAACCCUUGUGGAAAAGGACGCCGAAGGUGGGGCUGAUGACUGGGGUGAAGUCGUAACAAGGUA
rnacentral:rRNA from 1 species